UCCGUGUAAUCAGACCCGCUUGCGUGCGAGGCGCGCGGCGAUCUCAUUCAAUAUUCUAACGGUCGGACUCUCUGGCGGCGCCAUUAGAUAUGAACUUACACACGGGGCGAUGUCUGAAAACCGUGCAAUUUCUGCCCGUUGUCAGCUUCUGAUUAAAAGAGUAAAUGGCUACACAAAAGGGAGAAAGACGUCAAGAGCUGCAGCGGAAGGAAAGUGUCAGAAUGAAUCUGGCAUUUAGUUGUUGCAGAAGAGCCAGAGGGACCUUAGACCAGUCAUGCUUGCUAAUCAGCCUGAAACAGCAGCUGCUUUGAGCAGUUGUGAAUCUCAGUUACUGACGGGGCUGGAGGAUUCUUCUGCAAGUUACUGAGACGACAAAACGAUGGUUCGUUUCAGACUGCCUAUGUGUUCUGUGUCGUUCUGGACAUAGACCCAUCCAUCAGGGUGUCUCAGAGCAGGGAAGCUUCCAGGAGGGAUCUCAACAGUUCAUUUCCAUUCCAGCCCCCACCACAAACCUCCCGCAAAGUCAUUAGCCACUAAAUAGCCCACACUUGGGGUAGAGCCUGAGCUCCAAGAUGACGUGAGGACCUUACCUUUUCAGAAACUGUUUAUUGUUUGAUCAAGACACUGAGCUAGGUGAGGAGUCAUUGAGGUAAAUCCAAGGGCCGUCUUAUUAAUCCCAGACAGUAAAAAAAAAUAGUUUCACAUGUAAUAAGACUGCAGUUUGCUGGUCCUGUUUGUAAAUGAAGAAUUUACCACUGCACUUUUAACUCUUAGCUAGACAGUAAGUCUCACACAGCAAUGGCACUAGACCAUAGGUCAGGCAAAC